AUUGAACGCUGGCGGCAGGCCUAACACAUGCAAGUCGAACGAGUGGCGGACGGGUGAGUAAUGUCUGGGAAACUGCCCGAUGGAGGGGGAUAACUACUGGAAACGGUAGCUACUACCGCAUACCAUCGGAUGUGCCCAUAUGGGAUUAGCUAGUAGGUGGGGUAACGGCUCACCUAGGCGACGCUCCCUAGCUGGGCUGAGAGGAUGACCAGCCACACUGGAUCGGAUACACGGUCCAGACUGGGACGGGAGGCAGCAGUGGGGAAUAUUGCACAAUGGGCGCAAGCCUGAUGCAGCCAUGCCGCGUGUAUGAAGAAGGCCUUCGGGUUGUAAAGUACUUGCAGCGAGGAGGCGUUACUCGCAGAAGAAGCACCGGCUAACUCCGUGCCAGCAGCCGCGGUAAUAC
rnacentral:rRNA from 1 species